ACGGAAGGCGCAGUAGGGAAUAUUGCACAAUGGGGGGAACCCUGAUGCAGCAACGCCACGUGUGGGAAGAAGCAUUUCGGUGUGUAAACCACUGUCGUGAGGGAAUAAUGCUUGGCUCCGGCCAAGUUGAAUGUACCUCGAAAGGAAGCACCGGCAAACUUCGUGCCAGCAGCCGCGGUAAUACGAGGGGUGCAAGCGUUGUUCGGAAUCACUGGGCGUAAAGGGAGUGUAGGCGGAGACGCAAGCAGUCUGUACAAUACCGGGGCCCAACCCCGGACCUGCAGACUGGACUGUGUCUCUUAGAUAGUUCAGGGGCAGGCGGAAUUCCUGGUGUAGCGGUGGAAUGCGUAGAGAUCAGGAAGAACACCGAUGGCGAAGGCAGCCUGCUGGGGACUCAUCGACGCUGAGGCUCGAAAGUGCGGGUAGCAAACAGGAUUAGAUACCCUGGUA
rnacentral:rRNA from 1 species